rnacentral:lncRNA from 1 species
AUGGUUAUUUUAAUAAAAUAAAGAUAAAUUUGUAUAUUUAUAAAAUAAAGUAUAUAUUAUUUUGAUAUUAUUUAUAAAAUUUUAUUACAUAAUAUAGGUAUAAAUUUUUUUAAAAAAUAAUAUUAUUUCUUAAAUAUUCUAAUUUGAUUAACCGUAAAUGUCCCUCGUAUUAUAUUAAAUGAAAUAACCUUAUUUUCUUUUCAAUCAAAUAUCAUACACUUUCCGUCCCAUUCGAUUGUAUACGUUUCAUUUUCACUGCUCAGCACACGUUUUAAGCCUCUUGUGAAAUAUAAUUCUAUAAUUUAUUUCUAAAAUUUCUUUUUUGUGUAUAAAAAUAUGAAUGUUAUAUUUUUAUACAAAAAAAAAGAAAAUUUUAAAAAUAAGUUACAGAACUAUACUUUAUUGAAGUAUUAAAAUCCGCGUGGCGCCCUCAUCCCCCAUUGUAUUCUAUUGGCCGGGACGAAGGGAGUAUAAGGAUCGACUAUUGUUUAGAGAUCGUGAAAUGCAACCCAUGCUCCUAGUUUCGGUCCCAAAAUUUGAAUUAUCUCAUUUUAGUUCCAAUUUGCACCGAUGCUGAUCUAAACUAAUUCGUUUUUAUAAUAUGAAAUAUUCAAAACUAAUAAGAGUACAAAAGAUGUACAUAUAAAAUUAUAUUAUUUUCAACAAUUAUGUAAUAUUUAUAUAUAAUUUUUUUUAUAGUAUAUAAGGUAAUGUCAGAUUAAGGUUAAUCGGAUCGGGUGGAAGCAUCCCCUAAUAUCAGUUAUUAUUAUUAUAUAUAACUUAUUUAAUUUGUAAGCAUAAAUUCGUUUAGAUCUGCAUGAUUAGUCUUUAUAGACACAUUUUAAAAAAUUGGUAUGCACUUAACUUAUUUAUGAAUCAAUAUAAAUUAUUAAACACAGUAGAGCAUGCAGUAAAAAUAUAAAUUUGUAAAACUUUACUUAUGUAAAUUAAAUAUUAUGAAUUUGAAAAGAUAAAUAUAUUUGAUAUUUGUAUCUAUUUUUAACCACUAAUAUAAGGAAAAUUUUGUUGUAUUAAACUGCAAAGUCCAUGUGAGAUUUCUAAAAACUGAUCAUUCUGGAUGCUAACUUGUUUUGAUUUUAUAUUAUUUCUCUCAUUAUAAUUAUAUAUUUAUAUUUAUAAAAUUGAUGUUUAUUAUAGAUGAGUGUUAAUUUAAUUUUUUAAAAUAGAAAAUAUUUAAUUUUAUAUCAUAUAAUACUCGAAAGGCCAUGCACGUCACGUAAUACAUGUUAACAUUUUAACCAUUGCAACAAAAGAAAACUGUUUGUUUGUCAUCAAAUAUAUAAAAAGCUCGUUUGUUUCGCAUAAUUUAAAAAAGAUCUAUUAAACUGAUCUAAUAUAAAUUCUUAAAUUCAAUAGAGUAUGCUGUAAAAGUAUAAAUUUAUAAAAAUUCACUUAUGUAAAUAAAAUUUUAAAAAAUAAAUAUAUAUUAGAUUUUUAUAUUUAUUUUCAGCCACCGAUAUAAUGUAAAUUUUGUCUUAAAAUUGUUGCUAUCGGAACUUUAGCCUCUUUGAUAUACUCUACCUUUUUAGUUGUUCUCUGUCUUGUCCAUAGACCAUAGCCACCGAAUUUGAAGCUGUGUAGGAAUAUAUUAAAUUGGUUUAUUACAUGGAGUUCCAUGACUCAGACUUGGUCUAGAACGGACUUUGGUGUGCAUUGUAGUUAAUCAUUAUUGUUUUAUUAAUAUCGUCUCAAUGGUAUAAUUUAAAUAUUAAUUAUGAUUGGAAUUUUAGGUAAUUAAUAUAUAGAAAGAAUAUUAUAAUUUGAUUAGUCUAAAUUUUAGAUUGAUCUUUUAUUAUUAAAAAUUAAAAUUUAACCACUAACCAUGGUUGAAGCUCAAGUUAAUUAACUAAAGGAGUGUUAUAAUUUGAUUGGUCUAAAUUUUAGGAUCAAUUUUUUAUUGACUCUAAAAUAAUUCUUGUUUUUUAUUGGUUACCACUAACCAUGGUUAAAGUUCAAGUUAAUUAAUUAUAGAAGGGUUAUAAUUUGAUUGGUCUAAAUUUUAGGAUCAAUUUCUUAUUGGCUCUAAAAUAAUUCUUCUUUUCUUAU